CCUCCACUUAAAAGGUUUAAGGACCCCUGUACUAGAGAGAUGUGAGCCACUUUGGGGUAUCAAAGUCAUGAGGAGGCCUGGAGCUCCAUGCUAGGAAACAGCCACAAAGGCAGCUUGCCUGGGAGGUUGGGUGGGCAAGUGAGCACAGCAUUAUCUGUUCAUCUGUACAAGGACUUGUCACAAUCGGAAAGCAGUCCUCUGUUUGAUCUGCCCUGGAGGGGAAGCCAGGCCCUGGGCUUUGGUUUACACAAGCAAAUGCAUUGCACCCCAAGGCUGUGAGCACACAGAACUGGUCUCCAAUGAAACACGACAAAAAGCUGCUGAGGUGUGGAGGAGAGUGCAGUUCCUGCAAAGAUACACCUGUCCCACCUUCAUCUCUCCGGCCUCUGCUUCUUCUUCCUCCUCCUCUUCCUCCGUAAUGCCUUCCAAGGGAGCCACCCAGGGACCCGAAUCGAUGGCAUUGGAGCAGAAAAGCUCCAACUGUGGAGGAUGAAGAAAGAGGAGCCAUUGGUCAGAAGGACUCUCCUGGGAGCCAAAGGAGGCCAGUUGGGUUUCCGAGGCUUUGCCCUGCAUUUGAGGCAAAAUGCACGAUCAGCAGCCCUUCUGCAAUUUACCAAUAGACAGACAUUACAGCCUGGUUUGUUCAAUAAAAUAUACAUUGUGUUUGUCUUUUGAUUUAU